rnacentral:rRNA from 1 species
GACGAACGCUGGCGGCGUGCUUAACACAUGCAAGUCGAACGGAAAGGCCCUGCUUUUGUGGGGUGCUCGAGUGGCGAACGGGUGAGUAACACGUGAGUAACCUGCCCUUGACUUUGGGAUAACUUCAGGAAACUGGGGCUAAUACCGGAUAGGAGCUCCUGCUGCAUGGUGGGGGUUGGAAAGUUUCGGCGGUUGGGGAGGGACUCGCGGCUUAUCAGCUUGUUGGUGGGGUAGUGGCUUACCAAGGCUUUGACGGGUAGCCGGCCUGAGAUGGUGACCGGCCACAUUGGGACUGAGAUACGGCCCAGACUCCUACGGGAGGCAGCAGUGGGGAAUAUUGCACAAUGGGCGGAAGCCUGAUGCAGCAACGCCGCGUGCGGGAUGACGGCCUUCGGGUUGUAAACCGCUUUCGCCUGUGACGAAGCGUGAGUGACGGUAAUGGGUAAAGAAGCACCGGCUAACUACGUG